AUGGUUGCUUUUUAUCGAAUUUAUCAAAACAAUAUUUUAAAUAACAAUAAAUCAUUUUAUAAAAUUUGCAAGGCUAAAUUGUGGAUAUAAAAAUCGAACCAUUUUUGAAAUAAGUUAGUUUCAGUUAAUAUGACAUCGUUAAUAAAAAUGCUCGUUUUUGUUUUCUAUUUACUAUACACUUACUUCUUGUUCGUGUGUUCAAAUCCUACUGGCCGCCAAAUACGAGAAGCCAAUCCAUAUUUAUUUUGUAUUGGUCCUCCAUGUACUCCAAAUAGUAAUGUUGUAAAUUCAACUGGUUAUUAAUGUUAAUAAACUGCUAAAAGAUG